rnacentral:lncRNA from 10 species
GGAAGGUGGAGCCGCCAUGUUGAACAUGUCUAGUCCCUAGUUCCUGCUGGUAUUCACCAGUGCAAGCUCCCAGCUUGCUUGCCUAUGUCUGCAGCUUGACUUUACAGGCUGCUCUUCGGUAGAAAAUGAUUUGGGGCUGCUUUUCCUUAAAAAGAAAAGCCUUACGAGGACUCCCAUACCCUUACUAUCUGCCUAAGUGAUUUCUUCUUAACUCCUGUAUCGUUUUGCACUGACCGUACCAUCUCAAGGGACUCAGUAAAUGAAAAAAAGAUAGUGACAUUGCCAGAAUGUGGGUAAUGAACAUUGGGUCUCGUUCUGUAGUUCAGGCUGGAGUGCAGUGGCGCCACCUUGGUUCACUACAACCUCCGCCUCCUGGGUUCAAGCAAUUUUCCUGCUGCAGCCUCCCCAGUAGCUGGGAUUACAGAUACACGCCAUCACGCCUGGGUCAUUUUUUGAUUUUUAGUAGAGACAGGGUUUCGCCAUGUUCGC